rnacentral:rRNA from 1 species
CAGUCGUACUUAUGGGUAAUCAGCCUUUUGGGUGUGAUUUUGUGGAGCGUGAGGAGCUAAACACCUUCAUGCCUGCAUAUUCGUGCUCUUGGGUGUACUUGCUCGUGUGGUUGGUUAACAUCAAUUUCGGACGCCAUAAAAUGGCUGGAGGAAUGUAGCUUCGAUCUCGUAUUGGAGUGUUAUAGCCUUUCGGUAGAUGCGACGAGUUGGGAUUGGAGGUAUUGCAACGGAUACCCUUCGGGGCUACUCGUCUGAUCUCU